AUAAUGCACCUGUUUAUCCCCCAGGGCUUACUAUCGAGACUGCAAAGUAUGUUGGUUGAUGUCUUUGACACACACACACACACACACACACACACACACACACACACACACACACACACACACACACACACACACACACACACACACACACACACACACACACACACGCUUUAAACUUUAAUUUUCUGAGCUACUACACAAUAAUAAUAAUAAUAUAAUAAUAAUAAUCAAAUAAAUUUUCCUUUAAUUAUCUUUCUCCAAUCUGUAACAAAGUCAUUUUCUUUGGGUCAGAAUAUUUGCUGCCCUGUUUGUAUUAAUUUAUUUAACCAGUUUUUCCCAUUUCUUUUAAUAUAUCAUGUGAAAUAUUCUUAAAAACAACAUCUCACACUUUAUGCAUCAUAGUAUUGCAACAUCUGUCAUGGAGAAUGUUGUGUGUCCUGUUACUUUAGUCGCUUCUUGUGCUUCAUUCCUGCAUAAUUCUUAGACACUCUACACCUCUACACAGUGAGAGCAUCUAUGGUUUACAGGGUGAAGCAAGUAUUUCAGUGAGACUGUGGGUGGAGUGAAUAAUUCUGCUGACAGAAAACCACUCUUCAUCUUAUGUUAGACAAACAUUCACUAUGAUGCUCUCCUUGCUGCUGCUGAUACUGCUGUUGGGCUCCAACUGCAAAGCGUCCUUCAUGGGAACAGUUGUCACCUAUUAUGCAAAAACUACAACGUCAAAUAAAACUGCUGCAGUUAUAUGGGCCCUAUUCACCAUGGGUGAGUAAUGUUGAUGGUGGUAGAAUUGGUCAAGCUGUGGCUGUGAUUGAUCUGAGAAAACGCUCUGACACCAACAAAGCCAACUCAUCACCUCAGACUGCAAUCAUACCUCUGAGGUAAGGGACUGUGCUGCAGUGAAGAAAAAUAACAGGGAAUAUGCAAACAUUAUUUUGAAUUAUUUAUAAGUUAAGUUCUGGUGGUACAGCUGCUUUAAGAAAUGAAAAUCAGAACCUUUUGUUUCAGAGUUCCAUCAAACUGUCAGAGAGACUUUAACCUCUUGGCCUUUGACCCUGAUGGAGACGAUGUAAGAUGCAGAUAUGGAAAUGCAUCACUGUCAGAGAGUUACACCUACAAAAAGCCACCUUUUUUCAACCUCUCAUCAUCCUGUACGUUGUCAUUCAGCCCAACAAGCAGCAGUAAGGAAGGAGCCUAUGUUGUUCAGAUGGUGAUGGAGGACUUUCCAAAGGAGAAUAUCACCCUGACUCAAACUAAUGGUUCACAGGAGGUGAAAACCAACAAUGACGCCAUCAGCAAGAUUCCAGUCCAGUUUGUUGUAAGAGUGGAUCCUGCAGUGCCAUCAUGCACAGAGGGACUUUAUCUGCCCAGGAUUCUGACUCCAAUCCCAGAUAGACUGUACACGAUUGUCAAUCAGCCUGUGCUAAUUAAUAUCACAGCAGAGGCUCUUAAUGCUUCGCUCUCACAGGUGCUGUACAGUGGCCCGUCCACCAUAAACCUAAACAGGGUAUUACCAGGACAGUACGUCAUGAGUUGGACUCCACCUGAAGAUAACGGAGGAGAAAGCCAUCCCAUCUGCUUUGUUGUCGAGGCAGAUAAUGUUCUACCCAAGUAUCACUCUGAGCUUCGAUGUGUCAUUGUUACUGUUGGCAAUGGUGAGUAUAGCCCCGGGUUUAACCACCAUCACUGAACUGACUGCAUGAAACACAAGCAGUCCCCACAACAGCAAGAUCCCCUUUUACAAUAUCUGAUCUUCAAAUGACAGCUACAACAUCCACUAGUGUUACAGUGCAGUAUAUGCAUGAACUCUAAGCAUUGACUCUACCAACAACCGCAAAGAUAAAAUGUUGCAACUAUUGCACCAAUUACUUCUAAAAAAAGAUUAACAACACUUUCCUCUCAUCAGAGUAUUAUAAUAAUACCUCCACCUACACCCCCAACAGCUACAGCUACAGCUACAGCUACAAUCAACAACUCAAAUAAAGGUGAGUAUUAUUAACA
rnacentral:lncRNA from 1 species